UACGUAGGGGGCAAGCGUUGUCCGGAAUCAUUGGGCGUAAAGAGCGUGUAGGCGGCCUGGUAAGUCCGCUGUGAAAGUCCAGGGCUCAACCCUGGAAUGCCGGUGGAAACUGUCAGGCUCGAGUCCGGAAGAGGCGAGUGGAAUUCCUGGUGUAGCGGUGAAAUGCGCAGAUAUCAGGAGGAACACCCGUGGCGAAAGCGGCUCUCUGGGACGGUACUGACGCUGAGACGCGAAAGCGUGGGGAGCGAACAGG
rnacentral:rRNA from 1 species